rnacentral:misc_RNA from 1 species
GAAAUGCGAUAAGUAAUGUGAAUUGCAGAAUUCAGUGAAUCAUCGAAUCUUUGAACGCACAUUGCGCCCGCCAGCAUUCUGGCGGGCAUGCCUGUUCGAGCGUCAUUUCAACCCUCGAGCCCCCCCGGGGGCCUCGGUGUUGGGGGACGGCACACCAGCCGCCCCCGAAAUGCAGUGGCGACCCCGCCGCAGCCUCCCCUGCGUAGUAGCACACACCUCGCACCGGAGCGCGGAGGCGGUCACGCCGUAAAACGCCCAACUUUCUUAGAGUUGACCUCGGAUCAGGUAGAAAUACCCGCUGAACAUAAGC